rnacentral:antisense_RNA from 1 species
AAUAGCCAAAGAUGCAGGCUGGAUUGAGGUUAGGCUGGAUCAGCCGAACUCGCUCCAUCAGCGGAUCAUAAACGCCACCCCAAUGGGUCGCCUUCAGAACCAGUAAUAAUGCCCCAACCCCUAGCAACACAAGAUGAAUUCCUAAAAUCGUGGUCAUCUUCUUGCCAUCCUGCCA